rnacentral:miRNA from 1 species
GUUUGAGACAGGGUUUCAUUAUGUAGUUCAGGCUGGUUUUGAAUUCACUGUGUAGCCCAGGCUAGCCUCAAACUCAUGGCAAUCCUCCUGCCUCAGCCUC